rnacentral:rRNA from 1 species
UACGAAGGUCCCAAGCGUUGUUCGGAAUUAUUGGGCGUAAAGAGUAUGUAGGCGGCUAUUUAAGUCAGACGUGUAAGCCCACGGCUCAACCGUGGAAUUGCGUUUGAAACUAUUUGGCUUGAGUUCAGGAGAGGAAGGCGGAAUUCCCAGUGUAGCGGUGAAAUGCAUUGAUAUUGGGAAGAACACCGGUGGCGAAGGCGGCCUUCUGGUCUGAUACUGACGCUGAGAUACGAAAGCCAGGGGAGCGAACGGG